UUGUUUUGAUUGGAUAUUUGAACUGUAGGUUCCUAUUGCAAUUGGAGGUCCGGGACUGGCCCCUGGAGUCCGAUUCCGUAAGGAUGUUCCUGAUGGAGGGCUUGCCAAUGUUGCUGCAACUGUUAUCAAUCUCCAUGGGUAUGAAGCUCCAAGCGACUACGAGACAACCCUAAUUGAAGUCGUCGAUAACUAAGUGAGCGACAUGGAAAGUUAAAGUUUGGCAAAGAUUCUGCGGCGGUGACCGGCGGCCUGGUGAAGCAGCGUGAGCAACGCGCGGAGGAAGGCUCUUCCGGCGAGCAACGGCGUCCCGCGUCAAUGUGGCUCGUCCGGCAGCGGUCUGACCGGCCGAGCGUGAAGGAGAGGCAGCAUUGGCGUGGGACGAGAGGUGGACGGCGGCGUGCGGUGGUCGGAGGAGAGGAAAGACAAACGCAGGAGAUAGGGAGAAGAAAGGAGGGUGGUGCGGCUCGAGUGACUGGACGGGGCGGCGGCUGGUCUAGGGCUCCGUGUCUGUGAGUGGAGGGCAAAAGGCGGCUGAGCUCGGCUAUUUAUAGCCAAGCCUCAAAAAUUUUCUUGACAAAAAAACCUACAUUUAAUCCAUUAUAACAACUAUGUCCAAGGAGUGACCAUUAACCAUAAGUCACUCGUAGCACCGGCUACUAUUUUUAAAAAAUUGUUCUUUUCUAGCAA